CAUAUCAUCUACCGAUAGAUAUGACUCGGCUCUUUAUACCUGUAUCGUAACUAACGAAUAUGGAUCAGGUGAAACAAACAUUCAACUCAUAGUGCAAGAACCACCUAGUCCUCCUACAGAUGUUUCUAUAGUUACAAAAAGCAGUCGGACAGUAGAGUUGUCAUGGAAACCAUCCUACAGUGGAAACAGUGCUAUCAUCAAGUGUACCAUACAGUACAAAAAUGUCACAAGUAAUUGGGAACACUGCUCGCAGUUGGUACUCUCUAGCUUCGAGACUUCCGCUACUGUAAGAGGUUUACUUCCGGUUACUUCGUACGAUUUUCGAAUCAUAGUCGAGAAUGAGUUGGGAAGAAGUAAACCCAGUGAUGUCAUUACCGCAACCACAUCGGAAGAAAGUAAUAAAGCUCCUAUUGUAAUUAAUAUUUAGAAUAAAAGUCCGAAACAUUAUUUAUAAAGAAUAAUUUCCUCAAACA